UACGGAGGGUGCAAACGUUGCUCGGAAUCAUUGGGCGUAAAGCGCACGUAUGGCGGACCGCUAAGUCGGAUGUGAAAGCCCUCGGCUUAACCGAGGAAGUGCAUUCGAAACUGACAGUCUUGAGUAUGGAAGAGGGUCGCGGAAUUCCCGGUGUAGAGGUGAAAUUCGUAGAUAUCGGGAGGAACACCAGUGGCGAAGGCGGCGACCUGGGCCAAUACUGACGCUGAGGUGCGAAAGCGUGGGGAGCAAACAGG
rnacentral:rRNA from 1 species